rnacentral:rRNA from 1 species
UACAGAGGUCCCAAGCGUUAUCCGGAUUUACUGGGCGUAAAGCGCGUGUAGGCGGUUGCGCAAGUUGUGUGUGAAAUCUCCCGGCUCAACCGGGAAACUGCACGCAAUACUGCGUGGCUAGAGUGGCAGAGAGGAAAGUGGAAUUCCCGGUGUAGUAGUGAAAUGCGUAGAUAUCGGGAGGAACACCAGUGGCGAAGGCGACUUUCUGGCUGCUAACUGACGCUGAGACGCGAAAGCUAGGGGAGCGAACGGG